rnacentral:rRNA from 1 species
AGUUUGAUCCUGGCUCAGGAUGAACGCUGGCGGCGUGCUUAACACAUGCAAGUCGAACGAUGAUCCCCAGCUUGCUGGGGGGAUUAGUGGCGAACGGGUGAGUAACACGUGAGUAACCUGCCCAAGACUCUGGGAUAAGCCUGGGAAACUGGGUCUAAUACUGGAUGCCGACUUUCCGCCGCAUGGUGGGGGGUUGAAAGGCUUUUGUUGGUUUUGGAUGGACUCGCGGCCUAUCAGCUUGUUGGUGGGGUAAUGGCCUACCAAGGCGACGACGGGUAGCCGGCCUGAGAGGGUGACCGGCCACACUGGGACUGAGACACGGCCCAGACUCCUACGGGAGGCAGCAGUGGGGAAUAUUGCACAAUGGGCGAAAGCCUGAUGCAGCGACGCCGCGUGAGGGAUGACGGCCUUCGGGUUGUAAACCUCUUUCAGUAGGGAACAAGGCCAGCACUUGUGUUGGUUGAGGGUACUUGCAGAAGAAGCGCCGGCUAACUACGUGCCAGCAGCCGCGGUAAUACGUAGGGCGCAAGCGUUAUCCGGAAUUAUUGGGCGUAAAGAGCUCGUAGGCGGUUUGUCGCGUCUGCCGUGAAAGUCCGGGGCUCAACCCCGGAUCUGCGGUGGGUACGGGCAGACUAGAGUGAUGUAGGGGAGACUGGAAUUCCUGGUGUAGCGGUGAAAUGCGCAGAUAUCAGGAGGAACACCGAUGGCGAAGGCAGGUCUCUGGGCAUUAACUGACGCUGAGGAGCGAAAGCAUGGGGAGCGAACAGGAUUAGAUACCCUGGUAGUCCAUGCCGUAAACGUUGGGCACUAGGUGUGGGGGACAUUCCACGUUUUCCGCGCCGUAGCU